AGAGAAGCAGCUGGAAGUGAAGAACUCACCACAAAGGGUUUCUGCAGUCACACUGCCCAGCUGGCCUUAAACCUGGAAGAAUCUAGAACUAGUCCUUGAAGCUAUUACCGGCAACCAAAUUUCACCUUCUCAGCUGAAGGAUUGAUGAAUUAUUGAAUCGAGCAAGCCCUUGAUGAGGCCUCUUCCAUUCCAGACACUGUCACAGGUAAACUCCCAUGCCUGUGCACUUUUUACUCAGCCUCAUCCAUGGGAGGCCCACGCAUCCGAGAUAAAUUGAUACUUGGGAAGAUCAAAGGUUCAUCAGGAAGGCAAUUCAUUCCAACGAUCUAUCGGCUGUUUGGGUUUGUCUAGGUGGGGAAAGAAACAACAGUUCUGUGUGAGAUGCUACCAAAAUGCUGCCGAGGGGCCUGGGAGUCUGGAUGUGCCUCAAAGUGGUCCUUUGUCAGUGGUGUCAGCUGUCCCUACACCUGAUUUACUUGUUUAUUUGGCAAAUGGGGAGGAGACAUCUCCUGGGCCUGAUGCUGUGGGGGCCAACCUUUCUCUGUCAGCCCGGCGGAGAGCCAGCCAUGCUCCUGUCAAGUAGCUCAGUCCCAGAAAUUCGCUGUCAAGACAGGGGAAGAAUUAGGGUGGAGACAGAUUUUGUGUCUCCAAUGAAUCCUCAAGGCUCUGGGUCUGUCAACGUCCGGAGGCUGGAGGGGUAAGUGGGUGCUUCCUCACAUUCUCUCACACACAGAGGCCCCAGAGCUCUGAAGCAGGGUGGGGUUCUGGAGACGCUGUCCCCUGGGGCUAGCCCCGGGCUGUGGGCCCCCCACAGUAGGGCCAGUGUAAAUGACCGUGUUCCUGGCCUUGCCAAUUGCUCCCCCGGAAAUGCAGGCCAUGCCGUGAAUUUACUGUGUGAUCUUGAAUGAGCCCCUCAAUGACUCUGACCCUGGUUUUCCCAUCUAUCAAUAAUGAUCUCUGUCCAACCAUAACUGAACAAAUGUUUUCCAAAGCCCGGUUUAUUCCAAUCUCUGCCCCCACUCCCUAUCAGAAUUCCUGGGGACAUUUGUUUAAAAUAUGUGUUCCUGGAUCUCAUGCCAAGGAAUUCCGAUUUAAUGCUACUAGGAUUGGCCCAGGUGUCUGCAUCGUUAACAAACUCCCACGGUGACAUUUUAACGCAUUUCAUUUCCCUAAAUUCAUGUCCUGGUAGCACACUGAACCAUUCCAUUUAGUACUGGAUUGUGUCAUUUACAGUGUUGAUUUGCAAUUAUUUCAGUCCCAUAACACAGCCUGCUUUCAUCAUGCAAGCUUCCGGAGAGCCAACAUUCUAGUUUUUUUCCUUUUUCAAAAUUGCCCUACCAUGGAGAUUGAUUAGAAUGGAGCAGGAAGGAACUUUCUAGGGUGACAGAAAUAUGAGGGGUAUAGGUUACACUGGUGUAUCCAUUUGUCAAAGCCCACUGAAUUGUAACACAAAGAAUUUGAAUUUCACCGUAUCUAAGUUGUAAGAUACGUCAAUUAAAUAAAUUAAAUCAAUUAACAUUAAAAAGAACAAAAAAAAUGCUGACUCUAAAUUCCCAUCUAGUUCAUACAAAGGCAGCCACCAUGAAUCAUUAAUGCUUUGUUUGAGGGAUACUGUAGGCAACAUUUGAAAAGGCCGUGCAGCUAACAAUUUCUUUCUAAAUUAAACCCCUUCCCACCCUGACCACCAAUGGGGUGGCAAAGCCAAUUGCAGGGUUAGCCCUUAAGGUGGGGACCGGCAGGGACUCUGAAGUGACUCAGGGAAGUUCAAGGAGAGGAAGGAGCGUCCUGUCCAUCCCGUCCUGGCUACGGACACCAAAAGGGCCUGAGGCGCAUGUCUGAUCAAUCAGCCAAUCAGCCCCAGCUCCUGCCCUCCGCUCCUCCUGCCACUGUCACCAGGAUCAA